AGGAUAGAGGCCUACCAUGGUGGUAACGGGUAACGGGGUGUUAGGGCACGACACCGGAGAGGGAGCCUGAGAAACGGCUACCACAUCCAAGGAUGGCAGCAGGCGCGCAAAUUACCCAAUCCCGACACGGGGAGGUAGUGACAAUAAAUAACAAUACGGGGUUCUUUAGGAUCUCGUAAUUGGAAUGAGUACAAUUUAAAUCUCUUAACGAGGAACAAUUGGAGGGCAAGUCUGGUGCCAGCAGCCGCGGUAAUUCCAGCUCCAAUAGCGUAUAUUAAAGUUGCUGCAGUUAAAAAGCUCGUAGUUGAAUUUCGGGACCAAUAUGUCGGUCGUGCCUCGGUACGUACUGGCAUCGUUGGUUUCUCCCUUCUGACGAACCAUGAUGUCAUUUAUUUGGUGUCGUGGGGAAUCGGGACUGUUACUUUGAAAAAAUUAGAGUGUUUAAAGCAGGCUCACGCUUGAAUACAUUAGCAUGGAAUAAUGAAAUAGGACAUCGCAUUCUAUUUUGUUGGUUUCUAGGAUCGAUGUAAUGAUUAAUAGGGAUAGUUGGGGGCAUUAGUAUUCAAUUGUCAGAGGUGAAAUUCUUGGAUUUAUUGAAGACUAACUACUGCGAAAGCAUUUGCCAAGGAUGUUUUCAUUAAUCAAGAACGAAAGUUAGGGGAUCGAAGACGAUCAGAUACCGUCGUAGUCUUAACCAUAAACUAUGCCGACUAGGGAUCGGAUGAUGUUGAUUUUUUAAUGACUCAUUCGGCACCUUACGGGAAACC
rnacentral:rRNA from 1 species